UCUCACACGGUCUAGUGAUUAGGAUUCCUGGUUUUCACCCAGGUGGCUCGGGUUCAACUCCUGGUAUGGAAA
rnacentral:tRNA from 1 species